rnacentral:rRNA from 1 species
AUUGAACGCUGGCGGCAUGCUUUACACAUGCAAGUCGAACGGUAACAGGCCGCAAGGUGCUGACGAGUGGCGAACGGGUGAGUAAUGCAUCGGAACGUGCCCAGUCGUGGGGGAGAACGCAGCGAAAGCUGCGCUAAUACCGCAUACGAUCUAUGGAUGAACGCGGGGGACCGUAGGGCCUCGCGCGAUUGGAGCGGCAGAUGUCAGAUUAGGUAGUUGGUGGGGUAAAGGCUCACCAAGCCGACGAUCUGUAGCUGGUCUGAGAGGACGACCAGCCACACUGGGACUGAGACACGGCCCAGACUCCUACGGUAGGCAGCAGUGGGGAAUUUUGGACAAUGGGCGCAAGCCUGAUCCAGCAAUGCCGCGUGCAGGAAGAAGGCCUUCGGGUUGUAAACUGCUUUUGUACGGAACGAAACGGCUCUGGUUAAUACCUGGGGCUAAUGACGGUACCGUAAGAAUAAGCACCGGCUAACUACGUGCCAGCCGCCGCAGUAAUAC